rnacentral:rRNA from 1 species
CCCCAUGGAGCUUCAAACCCAACUACACCCCUAGCUCUUAUAGCCCCACAACCCCCCCUAGGCGCCGUGUGCUUGGUUUUAGGUUGGGGCGACCGCGGAGUACAAUAAAACCUCCACAAUGAAUGGGAACACCCCCUUAUCUGAGGGCCACACCCCCUAAGAAUUAGAACACUAACAUAAAAUGAUCCAUUACUUGAUCAAUGAACCAAGUUACCCUGGGGAUAACAGCGCAAUCCAUUUCAAGAGCCCCUAUCGACAAAUGGGUUUACGACCUCGAUGUUGGAUCAGGGUACCCCAGUGGUGCAGCAGCUACUAACGGUUCGUUUGUUCAACGAUUAAAACCCU